rnacentral:lncRNA from 1 species
UAGGUUGAGUCCAAAAAAAAUAUCAAGAUGAACACUUCAAUUUUGUUGGUACUCAUUCCCUGUCUUGUCGCCUUUGUCGUGGUUCAAUCCCAGAUGCAUCCAGGAUACCAGAUGACCGGUGCUUACCCAUAUUACUACGCAAACCAACUGGGUGCAUACCAGCAACAGACCGGAUUAUACAACACCGGAAAUGCUCUCACAGCGCAGGCCCAGAAUGCAAAACUGCUUAACUACUGUAAGUAUUAAUUUCUGCAUAUUUUUUUUUAGUUUAAAUAGUUUUGAUAUAACCGUGUUACACAUGUAUUUAUCAAUGCACAUAGGUAGUGUUAUCUACACUUUGGUUUAGUUAGCAAAUAAUUCUAUUGAAACGCGAUUACCGGUGUUAGAAUCUAAAGGACAAUCUUGAAUUUAUAUUUAUGUUAUAAAUAUGCUUUUUUCCACGACGAAGGCUUAAUUAAAGAUGAGGAAAACCAAUAAACAUAUCAUUUCUUUGCUGCUUUUUUUUAUAGAACAACAACCGAAAAAACAACUUGUAAAACAAUAAUAGUGCAUUAUGUUUUGAUAUUUAAAUAUCUAGACCUGGAGCCUUUAUUGUCCAAAAUUCGUUUCGGGUUCAUUAAAAUUUGAACCGUUCCCGUUAUUAUAAACUCUUCGAUCCGCAUUUCGAUAUCUAUAGAAUGCUCUUCCUCUAUUAAUAACCUUAUUGAUUUGUAUAUGUUUCUAAGGCUAAACAUUAAGUGGUCUAUCACUAGUUUGAUACACUAGAAAAUAAACAAUUUGAAGGGGUUUACACUAGUCAUUCGUUGUACCCUUUAUUGCUUGCUGUUCAAUGUGAGCCAAGGUUCCGUGUUGAAGACCGUACUUUGACCUAUAUUAGUUUACUUUAACAUGGAGUGUUGUCUCAUUAGCACUCAAAUCACAUCUCAUUUUAUCUAUUUAUGCAUAUAUUUCUCCUUUCAGUAUUCGGAUUCUUGCUUCUCCUCCAGUUCACCAAUGCCACAGGAAACAGAGUCGGAUAAUAUGUAAGUUAAGCAAUUGUGUAUGUUAUUGUUGUGUAAUCAGAGAACUUUUUUUUGUCAGAAAACACUGUCAAACAUGCAAACAUACUACCCACACUGGUCUGUGUCCACACUUGUAGUUUUAUAAAUACUAGUAUGUUUUAAAGAAUUAAUGACAACGAUGUUCGAGGUAUAAUCAACAUAGAAGGCAGACACUCUGUUACAGUUCAACCUGUCUAAACCGAAGCCUGUAUAAACCGAAAACCUGUAUAAACCAAACGUAUUCUUGAGACCCCGUCAUAUCAAAUUAUAUACGUUUUAAUAAAACCAAACAUCGGCCAAAACCUAACAAAAUCUAGAUUCCCAAAGAGGUUCGGUUUAAACAGGUGUCACUGUACAUGUAUUUGGUCAUAACAUUUUGACCAUAGCCAAUCAAUGUCGUUAAAUAUCUCUGUGUAGUAUAAGUAGGUAUUAUGAUCAGUUUGAAUUUAUAUAAUUUGCAAUUGUAUAGAAAAUAUAACAGAAACUGGUAAGGGAUGUUGAAAUUUAACGGGAGCGGGAUAACUUCAAUAAGGCUGACUAUGUUUUCGUUCCAUGCAUAAAGGUGUAAGAAAAAACGAAUUUAGACAUUAUUUAUUGAGGCUUCAUGUUUAACUAAAAGUUUGUGUUUAUGAUUAUUUUUUUUGUCUUUUGCAGGUUUGACGAAGAAGUGGAUUUUGCUACUACAUAGCAGUGCUAUUGGUUAAUCUAAAUAAAAAUGUAAAAGAAUAAUAAUCACG